rnacentral:sRNA from 1 species
AUAUAUUUAAUCAAUAGUAAACAUUCAUUAUAUAUGAAAAAUGUAAGUAACAUACCAUGUCAGGUGAAAUUUGAGGUAUUGUUGAUGACUCUGGACAUGGGAAUACACUCGGUUGUGUAUUCGUUGAGGGAAUCGCCUCGCUUAUUGCAGGACUAGAGAAUAUUCCAUCAAAGUUCUCAAUCUCUGCCGUCAUAGGAUCUUGUAGAAGCUCCUUUAGGAUUGCAUAAAGCCAACAAUUUAAUAUUAU